rnacentral:tRNA from 1 species
GGAGGGAGGAGCUCAGUGCGAGAGCACGUGCUUAGCAUGCAUGAAGUCCUGGGUUCGAUCCCCAGUACCUCCA